GAUGAACGCUAGCGGCAGGCUUAAUACAUGCAAGUCGAGGGGUAGCAAGAUUGUAGCAAUACAAUUGUUGACGACCGGCAAACGGGUGCGGAACACGUACACAACCUUCCUACAAGUGGGGAAUAGCCCAGAGAAAGUUGGAUUAAUACCCCGUAACAUAGCGAUGUGGCAUCACAUUGCUAUUAUAGCUUCGGCGCUUGUUGAUGGGUGUGUCGGCUGAUUAGAUAGUUGGCGGGGUAACGGCCCACCAAGUCUACGAUCAGUAGCUGAUGUGAGAGUAUGACCAGCCACACGGGCACUGAGAAACGAGCCCGACUCCUACGCGAGGCAGCAGUAAGGAAUAUUGGACAAUGGACGCAAGUCUGAUCCAGCCAUGCCGCGUGAAGGAUUAAGGUCCUCUGGAUUGUAAACUUCUUUUAUAAGGGACGAAAAAAGGUCUUUCUAGAUCGUCUGACGGUACCUUAUGAAUAAGCACCGGCUAACUCCGUGCCAGCCGCCGCAGUAAAAC
rnacentral:rRNA from 1 species